rnacentral:rRNA from 1 species
GACGAAGGGGGCUAGCGUUGUUCGGAAUUACUGGGCGUAAAGCGCGCGUAGGCGGCUUUGUAAGUUAGAGGUGAAAGCCCGAAGCUCAACUUCGGAAUUGCCUUUAAGACUGCAUCGCUAGAAUUGUGGAGAGGUAAGUGGAAUUCCGAGUGUAGAGGUGAAAUUCGUAGAUAUUCGGAAGAACACCAGUGGCGAAGCGACUUACUGGACACAUAUUGACGCUGAGGUGCGAAAGCGUGGGGAGCAAACAGG